rfam:Parcubacteria (Giovannonibacteria) bacterium GW2011_GWA1_44_25 TW53_C0022, whole genome shotgun sequence.
GCGAGAAUGGUUUAAUGGUAGAACAGGUGCCUUCCAAGCACCGGGUGGGGGUUCGAUUCCCCCUUCUCGCA